UACGGGGGGAGCAAGCGUUGUUCGGAUUUACUGGGCGUAAAGGGCGCGUAGGCGGCGCAACAAGUCACUUAUGAAAUCUCCGGGCUUAACCCGGAGCGGCCAAGUGAUACUGUCGUGCUAGAGUGCGGAAGGGGCUACUGGAAUUCUCGGUGUAGCGGUGAAAUGCGUAGAUAUCGAGAGGAACACCUGCGGCGAAGGCGGGUAGCUGGGCCGACACUGACGCUGAGGCGCGAAAGCCAGGGGAGCAAACGGG
rnacentral:rRNA from 1 species